CCAGCACUUUGAUGCCAGAGUGUUUGCCUUCAGUGGCAGAAACCUGAACCUUCUGAUCAUUCUUCGUUGAAUUUUAACUUCGGUUCCAGAAGUUUCUGGAUGCUCAAGAUUACCUAUGUUUGGUGGAUUUUCGUUUGGAUUUUGUUUCCAUGUACCAAGCUGGCAGCUUCCUGUUAUCCUCCAUCUCCUGAACCAAGGCAGAAGCGUACCCUGUCCACCCUCCAACGCAAGUACCUGAACAUUGAACUAACUACUGAACUCACCAGAACUCACUCUACAGCUCAAGUAAAACCAUCUGGAUUUUCUCCGCUUCACACACCUGGGUCACGACUCCCUCUACCCCUGGCGACCUGACUGCACUCAUUUAUUGGUGAUUGACCUGUUCAUGUUCCAGACUCACUUAUUGUAAAUAAAACACCUUUCACUG